rnacentral:rRNA from 1 species
UACAGAGACUGCAAGCGUUAUUCGGAUUCACUGGGCGUAAAGGGAGCGUAGGCGGCGUGGUAAGUCAGAUGUGAAAUCCCGGGGCUCAACCCCGGAACUGCAUCCGAUACUGCCAUGCUAGAGGAUUGGAGAGGUAGCUGGAAUUCUUGGUGUAGCAGUGAAAUGCGUAGAGAUCAAGAGGAACACUCGUGGCGAAAGCGAGCUACUGGACAAUUCCUGACGCUGAGGCUCGAAGGCUAGGGUAGCGAAAGGG